rnacentral:rRNA from 1 species
GUAACGGCUCACCAAGGCGACGAUGCGUAGCCGACCUGAGAGGGUGAUCGGCCACACUGGGACUGAGACACGGCCCAGACUCCUACGGGAGGCAGCAGUAGGGAAUCUUCCGCAAUGGACGAAAGUCUGACGGAGCAACGCCGCGUGAGUGAUGAAGGUUUUCGGAUCGUAAAACUCUGUUGUUAGGGAAGAACAAGUACCGUUCGAAUAGGGCGGUACCUUGACGGUACCUAACCAGAAAGCCACGGCUAACUACGUGCCAGCAGCCGCGGUAAUACGUAGGUGGCAAGCGUUGUCCGGAAUUAUUGGGCGUAAAGCGCGCGCAGGCGGUUUCUUAAGUCUGAUGUGAAAGCCCCCGGCUCAACCGGGGAGGGUCAUUGGAAACUGGGGAACUUGAGUGCAGAAGAGGAGAGUGGAAUUCCACGUGUAGCGGUGAAAUGCGUAGAGAUGUGGAGGAACACCAGUGGCGAAGGCGACUCUCUGGUCUGUAACUGACGCUGAGGCGCGAAAGCGUGGGGAGCGAACAGGAUUAGAUACCCUGGUAGUCCACGCCGUAAACGAUGAGUGCUAAGUGUUAGAGGGUUUCCGCCCUUUAGUGCUGCAGCAAACGCAUUAAGCACUCCGCCUGGGGAGUACGGUCGCAAGACUGAAACUCAAAGGAAUUGACGGGGGCCCGCACAAGCGGUGGAGCAUGUGGUUUAAU